CCUACGGGAGGCAGCAGUGGGGAAUAUUGCACAAUGGGCGAAAGCCUGACGCAGCGACGCCGCGUGAGGGAUGAAGGUCUUCGGAUCGUAAACCUCUGUCAGCAGGGAAGAACGGUCACUGUGCUAAUCAGCAGUGAAUUGACGGUACCUGCAAAGGAAGCACCGGCUAACUCCGUGCCAGCAGCCGCGGUAAUACGGAGGGUGCGAGCGUUAAUCGGAAUUACUGGGCGUAAAGCGCUCGUAGGCGGUAUGUCAAGUCAAGGGUGAAAGCCCCGCGCUCAACGUGGGAACUGCCUUUGAAACUGGCAAACUGGAGUGUGUGAGAGGAUAGUGGAAUUCCAGGUGUAGGAGUGAAAUCCGUAGAUAUCUGGAGGAACAUCAGUGGCGAAGGCGACUAUCUGGCACAUAACUGACGCUGAGGAGCGAAAGCGUGGGUAGCAAACAGGAUUAGAUACCCGGGUAGUC
rnacentral:rRNA from 1 species